GAGUUUGAUUAUGGCUCAGGACAAACGCUGGCGGCGCGCCUAACACAUGCAAGUCGAGGGAGAAGCUUACUUUCGGGUGAGUGGAGACCGGCGAACGGGUGAGUAGCACGUGAGGAACCUGCCUUGAAGUUUGGAAUAACCAGUGGAAACGCUGGCUAAUGCUGGAUAUGACCUGGCCCUGCAUGGGGUUGGGUGGAAAGCUUUUUGCGCUUUGAGAUGGUCUCGCGGCCUAUCAGAUUGUUGGUGGGGUAAUGGCCUACCAAGUCGUCGACGGGUAGCUGGAGUGAGAGCUUGUACAGCCACAUUGGGACUGAGACACGGCCCAGACUCCUACGGGAGGCAGCAGUGGGGAAUCUUGCGCAAUGGACGGAAGUCUGACGCAGCGACGCCGCGUGUGGGAGGAAGGCCUUCGGGUUGUAAACCACUUUCGGGAGGGAAGAAGCGUUUU
rnacentral:rRNA from 1 species